CUACGGGCCGCUUCAGUGAGGAAUAUUGCACAAUGGGGGGAACCCUGAUGCAGCAACGCCGCGUGGAGGAUGACGCAUUUCGGUGUGUAAACUCCUUUUAUAUGUCAAGAAAAUGACGGUAGCAUAUGAAUAAGCACCGGCUAACUCCGUGCCAGCAGCCGCGGUAAUACGGGAGGGUGCAAGCGUUACUCGGAAUCACUGGGCGUAAAGGACGCGUAGGCGGGUUGGAAAGUCAGGUGUGAAAUCCUACAGCUUAACUGUAGAACUGCACUUGAAACUUCUAAUCUAGAGUAUGGGAGGGGGAGAUGGAAUUAGUGGUGUAGGGGUAAAAUCCGUAGAUAUCACUAGGAAUACCUAAAGCGAAGGCGAUCUCCUGGAACAUUACUGACGCUAAGGCGUGAAAGCGUGGGGAGCAAACAGGAUUAGAUACCCCAGUAGUC
rnacentral:rRNA from 1 species